GACGAACGCUGGCGGCGUGCUUAACACAUGCAAGUCGAACGGAAAGGCCCUGCUUUUUUGGUGUGCUCGAGUGGCGAACGGGUGAGUAACACGUGAGUAACCUGCCCUUGACUUUGGGAUAACUUCAGGAAACUGGGGCUAAUACCGGAUAGGAGCUCCUGCUGCAUUGUGGGGGUUGGAAAGUUUCGGCGGUUGGGGAUGGACUCGCGGCUUAUCAGCUUGUUGGUGGGGUAGUGGCUUACCAAGGCUUUGACGGGUAGCCGGCCUGAGAGGGUGACCGGACACAUUGGGACUGAGAGACGGCCCAGACUCCGACGGGAGGCAGCAGUGGGGAAUAUUGCACAAUGGGAGGAAGCCUGAUGCAGCAACGCCGCGUGCGGGAUGACGGCCUUCGGGUUGUAAACCGAUUUCGCCUGUGACGAAGCGUGAGUGACGGUAAUGGGUAAAGAAGCACCGGCUAACUACGUG
rnacentral:rRNA from 1 species